AAAGCCUGAUGCAGCAACGCCGCGUGUGCGAUGAAGGCCUUCGGGUCGUAAAGCACUUUUCUGGGAGAUGAGAAAGGACAGUAUCCCAGGAAUAAGUCUCGGCUAACUACGUGCCAGCAGCCGCGGUAACACGUAGGAGGCGAGCGUUAUCCGGAUUCACUGGGCGUAAAGCGCGUGCAGGCGGUUUGGUAAGUUGGUCGUGAAAGCUCCCGGCUCAACUGGGAGAGGUCGUCCAAGACUACCAGACUAGAGAGCAGAAGAGGAAGAUGGAAUUCCGGGUGUAGUGGUGAAAUGCGUAGAUAUCCGGAGGAACACCAGUGGCGAAGGCGAUCUUCUGGUCUGUUUCUGACGCUCAGACGCGACAGCUAGGGUAGUAAACGGGAUUAGAGACCCCGGUAAUCCUAGCCGUAAACGAUGUGAACUUGGCGUUGGUGGCUUAAACACCAUCAGUGCCGAAGCAAACGCGAUAAGUUCACCGCCUGGGGACUACGGCCGCAAGGUUA
rnacentral:rRNA from 1 species